rnacentral:rRNA from 1 species
CGAACGCUGACGGCGUGCUUAACACAUGCAAGUCGAACGAGAAAGUCCGCUUUCGGGUGGGUGAGUAAAGUGGCGCACGGGUGCGUAACGCGUGGGUGAUCUGCCUUCGAGUCAGGGAUAACACUGCGAAAGCGGUGCUAAUACCUGAUACGUUCACGGUUUUCAAAGCUGUGGAUAAAGGUGGCCUCUGAUAUAAGCUAUCGCUUGAAGAUGAGCCCGCGUACCAUUAGCUUGUUGGUAGGGUAAUGGCCUACCAAGGCUAUGAUGGUUAGCUGGCCUGAGAGGGUGGCCAGCCACACUGGAACUGAGACACGGUCCAGACUCCUACGGGAGGCAGCAGUGGGGAAUAUUGCGCAAUGGGGGAAACCCUGACGCAGCGACGCCGUGUGAGUGAUGAAGGCUUUCGGGUCGUAAAGCUCUGUCAGAUGGGAAGAAUAAGGGUAGGGAAAAUAUCUCUAUCCGAUGACGGUACCAUCAGAGGAAGCACCGGCUAACUCC